rnacentral:lncRNA from 1 species
CUUCCGGCGCUGGCUCUCCCUGGCCUCUCUCUGUGCCACGCUGCCCCCACCACCCGUCCACAGACUGCCCAGCUCGGCCCGGUUGGAAGAAGUGUCAGGUCUUUGUCUGAAUCUGGAGAACAGCUGCCUUGGCUGGGUUCAGAGCUGGGAGGACAAAGUCCUGGAAUGGCGUGGACGGCCUGACUCCAGCAGGUAUCUGGAAGUAAAAACAACAAACAACCCCAAACAUCUCCCAGCGCCAGACUGAUAGCUCAGAUUUCUACCACAGACAUCAGUUCCGUGGUGGUAUUCUGCCCGUCCCUGUGAGAUCUGGGCUCGGACAAGCACUUUAAACCCAC